UUUCAAAAAACGACAAAAAGAAAAAUAUAUACAAAAAAACCUCUCCCACUCAGUAUUGGAUCUCUCACACUAUUCACUCUCAUCUCUCUCACAGAAAAAUCCACACUCACUGCUAUUCACUCACUCUCUCAUUUCACUCUCCACUAUCUCCCCACUCAGUAUCACUAUCUCUCCACUCCCAACAAACUCCACACAAAUCCCUCAUUCUCACACAAACACUCAGCAGAAAAAGACAAAAAAUCCUUCCAAAUCCUUAUAUCUCUCUCUCACGAAAUCCACACGGGGCGAUCAUCCUUACAAAAAAAAUCUCAUGUUCUCUCUCUGAAAAUCCCCCACCUCUUUCACUCCACUCACUCGCUCUCAGCAGAAAAAAACCUCUCACGCCUCUCUCAAAAUCCAUUCAUCGUCUCCAUAAAUCACCACCACUCCGUCAUUUUCCUCCCUUCAUCACCUCCAUCGCUAGCCCUCUUCAAAACCCUCAGCCGCCGCGAAUCUACCGGCGAACCCACUUUCACCGCCCAUUCAUCAACCAUCACCCGAAACCCCUCACCUCCAUCGCCGCUUCUUCAUCUGCUCAAAACCCACACAAAAUCGCUCACCAACCGAAACCCUCUACUCUUCUUCCAAAACCGUGAACCCUUUCCACUUCCGUUUCGCCUCCUGUCACCUUCAACCGUCAAAACCCCUUUCUACCGCCACCGCACCACGCUCAAUCGCCAACCGCCGUGAAACCCAUCCGAAACCCUUUCCGUUUCAUCAUCAAUCAGCUUCAUCACUUUACCGUCACAAACCCUCGCCUCUCUCUCACUCUAAAAAAAAACCUACACGAGAACCCUCUGAUUCACUCUCAAAUCUUCAUCGUCUCCACCAAUCGCAACCCGUAGAUUCCGCCGCAGUCCUUCAUUCUUCCAUCAAACCCUCACUGAAUCGUUCUCCUACGCCAUCAACCUUCACGUCACCACCUUCAAUCACCUGAAUCCACCGACCUCAAACUGUCCUUCAAGGAUCCGUCGCCGACAAACACGGUUACGACACCCUUGACAGCUCAAGCAAAGGGUAACUCAACAAACUCUGCGAAAUCCAAAACAAACUCUGCGAUUUGGCUCCAGUGAUAUUUCAAACGUUUGGAGAUUUAUAUGUGAGACUGAGCUGUUGGUGAUAAUGGUUAAUAUCUUCAAAUUGAUUUUGAACGGUAGCAAAUGAAUUUUUCAUUCCGUCAUGUUGUUUCUUAAGCUGUUUUGAGUUUAAAAGUAGUUUCUACAGAUAAACCUUAAAGCUUAUUCCCAUUUUUAUCCUAACUUUGUGAUUAUUAUUGGUGCUGUAGUUAAACUGUGAAUUUAUGGAUUAGUUCACAGUAUAGUCAUAUUGUCAAUUAUGUGAUUGGUUUGAUUAUCAUAAGUUAAAUUACAUUAUUGAUUGCUUGCUGAAUUUUUAUAUUGUAUAUAGAUUUAGUUUU